rnacentral:rRNA from 1 species
GCAACCUGCCUUGGAGUCGGGGAAAACCGUUGGAAACGACGGCUAAUACCGGGAUGUGGCGCCCGGAGACAUCUUCGGAGCGCUAAAGGGGGCCGCAAGGCUCUUGCUCGUAGAGGGGCUCGCGCACCAUCAGCUUGUUGGCGGGGUAACGGCCCACCAAGGCCUACGGUUAGCUGGUCUGAGAGGAUGACCAGCCCCACUGGGACUGAGAUACUGCCCAGACUCCUACGGGAGGCUGCAGUCGAGGAUCAUUUGCAAUGGGCGAAAGCCUGACAAUGCGACGCUGCGUGGAGGAUGAAGGCCUUCGGGUUGUAAACUCCUGUCAUGGGGGAACAGGCGAGGGGACCCAAUACGUCCCUUAGUUGAGUGUACCCCAAGAGGAAUUGGCGGCUAACUCUGUGCCAGCAGCUGC